GUGGAAGGCACCUGCGUGUGUCCAACACGGUAAGCCGCUGCCGCAAAGACGUUGAAGACGCCGGGGUUGAGGAGUAAAACCGGGUAUAGGCAUUAGCGAGGGUGCAACCUGCGAUGAACUAGCAUUCCACCUAAAGAUGAUGAAAAAUAUCAAUUUUUCAUGUCAAGGAACACAGAUCCGAUCGGCAGUGGAAAGAUACACCAAAGUUGAGCCGUAGACUUGGGACAAAUCUAUGAAGGACGUGAUCUGAUUCACCUGCUGACGGGGGACGAU